CUCACUCCAGCUGUUUUAUAUUAUGGGACUUGUGGGCGGUCAGAAGAAGAUGUGAAGGCGCACAUAAUCCGAUUCGAUGGUUUUACCAUUCCACUUUAUUUCAGGAGUUUUUCAGAGGGAUUUUACAGGUGCGCCUUACCUGUUGCUGUGCAGGAGGACAUCAGGAAGAUGCAAACCGUGAUUCCCACUGGAACGUCUAUCACGACAAACAAGUCAUCAGGCGCCGGGGAAACAGCCCGUGUCUAGCGGGCAUAACUCCUGCCUUAAUCAUCUGCCGCGAUUCUCCGAACCGAGCGGCGGCUGGCUAGGCACGAACGCCCCCUCCUACCUCAUCUACAAAACUCACGCAGGGAAUCUGAGAGAAGCGAGAUGCAUUCGCAAAGUGGUGCCCGAGCCCGAAGGAGAGGAGCUGGAUUUGGCUUUCCAUGACACCUGCCUUCAGCGUAGAGAUGUAAUUCAGAGACCUGAGCUUUCAAAAGCUUUGUUUUUUUUUUUUUUGGGUGGGUGGUGGGGGUGUGAGGGGGGUUGAGGGUUGCGUGGGGAUAUCAGCAAUGAGUGGGGAAAAUGACUUGACGGUUUUAACUCCGUUUGGGAUUGCAGUUGUCAUGGAUACAUGUCUUCAAAGAAUGUCUUCAGAGUACUAAUUAAGUCAUUCAAAAGGGGAUAAUAUCAUUAUCUCCCCUCUCCCGCUUUCCUUACAGCAAGGUCUAUACCACAUUGUCAAUAGCAGUGACAAAGAAUGAGCUAAACAAUAUUUCUAUUUAUAUAUAUAUAGUUAAAUGCAAAAGUAUUUAGACAGUGACAUAAUUUGUUCUGUUGUUUUUUUUGGCUCUGUUCUCCAGCACAUUGGAUAUUAAAUAAAACUAUUGAUAUGA